CAACCUCUCCGACUCCCGCCAAUCCCAUCCGUCCAUCCAUCUCUUCCCUCCCCUUCCGCGACACAAGAGAAGACCGCGCCGCCGCUCGCCGCCGACUCCACCUCCCCGUCGCGGCGGCAUCGAUCGACCGGAGCCGGAGAAGAAGAAGAAGAAGAUGGUGGCGAUCAGGGCGCCCAAGAGCCACCGCGCCAAGAGGGAGCUCCUCAAGCACGCGCCCAAGCUCGUUGAGACCGGCAAGAAGACGCUUGUUCUCCAUGGGACCAAGACCAGCGCGGUGCUGAACUCCGUGCUCGCAGAUUUGUUCCACCUGAAGCGUGAUAAUGCCGUCAGGUACUCCAAGAAGAAUGAGAACAUCAGGCCGUUCGAGAGCGGCGGCGAAACUUCGCUUGAGUUCUUCUCACUCAAGACGGAUUGCAGCCUAAUUGUAUAUGGUUCUCACUCAAAGAAGAGGCCCAACAAUCUUGUUUUGGGAAGGACUUAUGAUCACCAUAUAUAUGACCUUGUUGAAGUAGGAGUUGAGAACUACAAAUAAAUUGAAUCAUAUGUCUAUGAUAAGAAACUGGCACCUAAGCUUGGCUCAAAGCCUUUCUUUACCUUCAUUGGGGAGCAUUUUGAAAGUGUUGAAGAGCUGAAGCAUUUGAAGGAAGUGCUGCUUGAUCUUUUCAGAGGAGAGGUGGUAGAGAAUCUGAAUCUUGCCGGUGUAGAUCGGGUAUUUGUGUGCACAGCAAUAUCCCCUACCACUGUCUACUUGAUGCACUGUGCUCUCCGUCUGAAACGGUCUGGCACAUCUAUUCCUAGAAUGGAGCUGGUUGAAGUUGGACCUUCGAUGGACCUAGUAGUUAGGCGGCACCGAUAUCCAGCUGAAAGUUUGAAGAAGGAAGCAAUGAAGACUGCCGAUCAUGCUAAGAAGAUGAAAAAUGUCACGAAGGAUCCUGUGCAGGGCAAGUUGGGCAAGGUCUACAUUCCAGACCAGCAGAUUGCAAAGAUGUCUUUAUCAAACGACAUCAAGGGGCUCAAGAGGGAGCGCCGUGAGGCCAAGAAAAACAAGGAGCACACGAAGAAGCAAAAGAUAAACGUUGAGUGAAGAAAGCUGAAGGCUAUUCAUUUUUUGUUGACAAUUGGCCAGGUCAGAUUAAAGGGUUCUGUGGGGUAACUGCUCCAACUCUUGCGUUAACCAUGGGGAAGUCACCUUGCUGUUAGAUUGAGUGGUAUAUUAGUUGAGUACCAUAUAACCAUCCUCUAGUUUUUGCCUUUGUAAUGAAUUCCACAACAAUAUUGAGCAUGCUGGACUUAACAUGAAAUUUUAAUCAGAUAUAUUUUUUUGAGUA